CAUUGUAACUUUGUUUCCACAUUCGAGCACCUUCCUCCUCCUCUUUACUAUUCUUCUUCUUCUUCUUCCUCUUCAGACCCUCCCCAUUCUAGGGCUUCUCUUGUUCCUCCAUCAAACAGAGGAGAAGAAACAACUCAAGAGGAAGAGAAACCUAAAGCUUCUAUCUCCCCACCUAUUUUUCUUACCCACCUGAAACCAAAAGUCCAGAACCCUCGGCUUUUUUCUUGCAAAACAUGCAGCAGUGUGUUUUGGGUUUGGCUACGCAAAUGCCGCACAAGGAGAAGAAGAAAAGUAUUGAAACCAAUGAAGAUUAUGCAGAAGGUGUGUGCUUUGUUUGCAAAGAUGGCGGAGACCUUCGGAUUUGUGAUUUCUGG
rnacentral:lncRNA from 1 species